UGCUCUGAAGCACUUAACUCUUCUGCAUUAACCAGCAGUUUCUGUAUCUCCUUCAAAGGUGCAGACUGUUAUCUCUGCUGUUACCUGGGCACCAGAUGGAAAGGAAUCAUGGAGCUUAGUAUUCACUGAAGGGUGCAGUGUGUUACAUUUGUGGAAGCCAGCAUGAGGAAUUAUUUUUCUCCCUGUACACAUUUUCCUACCUCAGAUAAUUCGGAGAGGUCAGAACAGGGUGAAUGACAGAUGCUCAAGACCAGCAGCAUUGAACCCUAUAGGUGAUCUCCAUUUGAUCCACUGAAGUGCAGUGGCUAAAUUUAUGACUUUCUUUGCCAUUCCUGUCUCCAAUUGCUACAUCAGUUUUCCAGCUGAGGAACACAGAGCAUUCCCCAUGACCAAAUAUGCACCACCACUCCUGCUGUGCUGCUGUCCAACAAACAACCACUCAGGCUACUCAGUGAACAGCUCCAGUGCAUGGCUCCACGUGCCUCAGUUAGAAAUAAUCUCUGAAUGAUUCAUGAACUGGCAAGAAUCUCAACUCUGUGGCUUUUCAGUCCUCCCAGUUAAUUAAUCUGUCUACAACCUGGAGUGAUUCAUCUAUCCAGUAGAAACACAUACGACAAUACUUAAAAAAUCAGUGCACCAUUUAUAAUCCUCAUUUCCUUCCAACAACUCUUAAAAUUACUAAGAAACACGUGACAUCUUUAAGUUUGGAAAGCAGCUUCAGGAAUAGGAAUUCAGAAGACAAAAUGAAGAGAGGACAGCAUCUUGUAACAGUAUUGUACCUGCUUCUACAAAAGUUGGGAUUGAAUGUUUUCAGAAAAA